GUUUAUAUAGUUUAAUAAAAAAAACUUUUCAUUUUCAAUGAAACAAUAAGAGAAUACUUCUUUAUAAAUA
rnacentral:tRNA from 1 species